CAAUACCACUCUUUUGUUAUCUAAGGUGUUUUCCUUCAAAUUAUACUUUCUUGCAUAAGAAUUAAAUAUAUUAUGCAACCAUUCUCAAUUAGAAGUACAGAUUAACCAGUUAUCUUGGUGGAAAAGGAUGUCAGAUGAGUUGAGAAAAUGCUUAAAGAAAGUCUUUACAUAAUUCUUUGAACUAAGUCACUAUAAAUAUUUUGGAGAUUUAAAAAAUUUAAUUAGAAUUUUAUUAUUGCUCACAUUAAAAGCAAUUGUUCUUUUCUUUUCUGCAGAUGUAUAUUUCAAGAAGAAAUGAUGCUUUCUUAUUUCUAAGAGUUUAUCAAUAGGAUGAAUGCCACAAAACUCACUUGUUAUGCCAGAAACUCUUCCUACGAAACUUCCAUACUAGAAUUUGUCCAGUGCCUGUGAUCCUCUGAGUUGAAGGAGAAUGUGCUCCAUAAUACCUACUAGGAGCUUGCUGAUAGCUGGAAGUUCAUGAAUACUAUGUUGUCCUUGAUUUGAUGAUUCUGAAAACUACCAUUUCUGAAGACUUGAGCAUUAUUUCUAUAAUUUAAAAAAAUCUUUUCAGGAAAUAUUGUGUUUAUAAUAUUAAGAAAGUGAAGAUAAUAUUGUUCUUACUAAUAUUAUUGACUUAUUAAAAUAGAAAGCACA